AAUCUUAUGUCUGCUUGAACCAUUAAUAAUCUGCUCACUCAGGAUCAUGAAGUUCCAAUUCUAUCACAACAGAAUAAUAUGUCUCCUAGUCAGUUUUUUUAUCCACUCUACAAAUUGCAAUGUCUAAUUGAUGUAGUUGCUGAUAAUUGUUUAUGUGACAGUGUCAAGCUCCUUUAAUGAAAUAUUGGUAAACUCUUCCCACUACCUAUAUCUUAUCUAAAAUCAUACUAUCUCACUCUCAAUAUCUGUACGCUCAAUUUAAGAUAGAUCAGAGUUACGCAGCUUUGUCUCCCUAUCUGUUUUAUGUCUUUUUCCAUAAUUAUUUGCCAAGUAAUACAUUGAGGUAUAG